ACGGAAUGCCGUGGUGACAUGUUUGUUGAGGAGGUGAUACCCAGGUCCCUUCUGAACGGUUCCUGACUGGAGCAGCAAGAAAUGAGGUAGCUGGAUUUCACAGAGUUUUGGUAACCUUGGAGAAACAAGUUACAGCAACCAUCAGCCCAGGCGACAAAUUUGCAAGCAGGCCAGGGUGCAGGCGGGAGGAUCUGAUCUGAGGUAUUUCUACUGAAAGAAAAUUCUGAAAUUUCAGAAUGGCGGAGUCUUCAAGAAGUGGAAAUACAUUGGUCGGGAGGAAGCGUAAGAUCCCAAACUGCAGAGGUAAAACGAGAAUCGAUGCCAGCUUAGACCUUGCAAAAGAAGUUGAAACAAACAGUAGAGUUUCUUAGCCAUCAAAACUAGAUGAGAGUGAGGAAAGUCACCGUGUCAUUGGCUAGAGGGAGGAUGAGUUUAAGGAUAGCAUAAAUGCUUUCAAAAAAUUAGAUGAUUUUGUGCCUCAGUGUUCAAUUUGGACAAUGACUCUGAACUUGGAUGGCAGAAAAUUGGCUUUAUGGGAGUGAAUUUGGAAGGAUGGAAAUGAUGCCUUUUGAGGUAGAAGUAAAAAUCAAAAUCAAGGAGUGCUGUUUCAGGGGAUCUGCGUCACUGUAGUCUGAAGGAAUUGGCAUUUGAAACUGCAUUUCUGCUUGAAGGAUAUUUAGGAAUAUGUUAAAGUGGGAGUGGUAUGUGAAAUUUCAGGCAUGAUUCCUAUAUUUAAGGUAGGAGAAAACUGUCAUCUAGUUAAGCAUAGGCAUAUUAGCGUGACAUCAGUAGCAUGCAAGGCAUUGCAGUGAUUUUGGAAAGAAGAGCAAUAGAAAACACAGCAAAUGGACGAAGUGGGAUAACACAGUAUCGGUUUACCAAAAGCAGAUUUACUGGAUUAUCUUGAUAAUCUCUCUUUAGAUUAUCCUGAUCUUUUUAGACAAAUAAAAUGGCAAUAGAUGUGAUGUAUAUACACUGUGAGAGAAGCAUCUGACACAGAGCUACACGGAGAAUCAUUUGACUGGAAAAGAUGAAGAUUAGGCCUAGAAUUGUAAAGUGGGUAGGAACUGGCUAAAGCAGAUAACAGAUGAUGCUGAAAGAAGAAAUACCAAGUUAGAGGGAGAUAAAAAUGGAGUUUCUGAAGGCACAGUCUGGGGACCUAUAUCCAUUAAUAUUUUCAUUAAUCAACUAGGCACAAAAAGAAUAAGAACCUGCUAGAGAAAUGUGCUGAUGGUUGAAGUUGGGAGGGAUUGUCAAUAGCAAGGAGGCUCAGAGCAUACAGAAAAAUAGAAUAUCUUCAAGGAUUGGGGAAAUAUAAAUGGUUGAAUGGUUGAACGGUUCAAGUACCAAGGUCAUGUAGCUUGGGACUGAUGACAAUUUCUAAUAUAAGGUAAGGCUUGUCGGUUGAACUGAUACAGGAGAAUAUAGCAUAUAUUUUGGCACUAUUUCAAAAGAGGGAUUUCUAGUCGAGAUAGGGAAGAAUUAGUGACGUGAAGAAAGCUUUGGUAAGACUUCUCCAGGAAUAUGGUGACUAACUGUGACCACCUCUGUUUGAAAGAAAUUCAGCUAGA